GCGCCGCGGGUACUAGCUGCAGAGUAGGUUUUAGGCCUCUGCGGUGUAGCGAGCAGAGCUACGGUCGCAGUCACUGCGGGGCAUUCCUGCUGUGCCCUUUGUCGCCCAGUCCUCCCAUCUUUCCUAGAAGAUUGGGAAUUGCACGCUCAGCACACGCAAGAAGGCUUCAUUUGCGUAGCUGAGGUUCUAGGACAAGUUGCUUGUGUGUUUCUAUUUAGUUUUCUUUGCGCCUCCCACCAUUUUCUCUUGGUUUCAGAAAGAGGCGGCGAUGGAGAGUCGUUGAUGCGGUCUGCGUUCCCCCCGUCCCCGAUCCACUAACGCAGGUGGUCACUUGUUUCCAUCGCUGCCCAAGCGGGUGGGCGGGCUAGCCCACGGUACCCACUCGCACGCUUGGGGAGGAGGAGUGCACGCGUCGGCUUUUCCUGUUCCCAGUCCUGAGAUGAAUGUGUCAGGGUUGAAUCUUACUGGACGUAAAAAGUUUGGAAGUUCUGUCCAAUCAGUUCCAGUAUUCUGCUUGAACGUGAACGGAAAUAGCCUACGUCCAGGUGCCAGCCAGGGAAGCCACUCGGGGCUCCGCUGACUCAGCCCUGGACUGAAGGUCAGGAGUCGUUAAGCCGGGUCAACUAUGACUCUUGACGUUGACUCAUGCUCCUUAGGCGAGUGACUUAAUCGCUCGGUGCCUCAGCUUUUUCAUUUAUGAACCAAAGAUGAUAAUACACUUACCUCACAAGGGUGUGCUGUGGUAAGGACUGUAACCAGCUUUGAAAACGCUUCGGAAUCUAAAUGCUUAGGAGCAAGUGCGUGCCUUCCUAAGAACCAGCUGCUUCUCCUUCCGCUGCUGUUUUAACAAUUUUUUUUCCUGAUACAGAGUCUCCUGUAGCCCAGGCUAGCCUCGAACUUGCGGUGUAGGGGAAGAUGGCUUUGAACUGAAGAUCUUCCCGCCUCCACCUCCUCCCAAAGUACUGGGAAUGCUGGCGCGUGCCGGGGUGGGGGUGGGGUAAUGCGGUGAUUGGGGUGGAACCUAGGGCUUCCUGAGUGCUACGUGAGCACUCUACCAACUGAGCUACAUCCCCAACCCUUAACAAUGUUUUAAAUUUUUCUUUGAUUUACUUUGUUACGUUGCCAUGUACACCAACACAGUUUUAAAGUUUCAAGAUCCUUUUUCUUUUCGAAUGUAGCUGCUCUCAACAGAAGCUUUAUGUUCAGGAAAUUAUGUUCAUAACAACUUCUAACAAACAGAAAUUUGUCCCCACACAGGCAUGCUGCAUUUUCUUCUAAUUUACUGGGCUAUCGUUUCUCAAGACAGUGUUGAGUAAAGGUUCUAAUGAGGAAGACAGGAUCUCCUUGCUAUUUCCACGAUGCCUAAGCAUGUUAUCACCAGGAAAAGCAGUACAAGCAGGCUAUCUGUGCCUGCCUCCUUAGGGUGUUGCUGUUGUCCGGAGCUGUGUCAUAGCUAUUAUUGAGUACAUAAUGGAUGCUUGGGUUGACUAACACAUACUUGAAGCUGUAGAAGAGCUCAAAGCCAGUUGCCUGUUCAUGUUUUUGUUUACCAGAAUGGCAGAAGUGAUCUAAAUGAAAGCUUUUGUUUACUCAGCACCAGUAGAUUCUAAAGUCGAUACAGUUCUGCAGACUAAACAGAUAGGUGAAUUUUUACGCACAAAUCUGUUACACUAACCAAGGUAAUUACAGUCGAUCCCUUUAUUUUCUGUUGUUUGUAAAAUGAUAUCUGGUUAACUUUGGUGAAAAGACAGCAUAGAGGGCUGGGAGUGUAGCUUAGUAGAGCACUCACCUAGGGAGCAGGAGGUCGUGUUUUAGAUCCCCAACACCACAUAAACCCAGCAUUCUGGAGGAUCAGGAGUUCAGCUUCAGUUAGGUGGCAAGUUCCAGGCCAGCCAAGGCAACAUGAGAAUCUAUCCAAGACAAGACAAGACACCAUAAAUAUCCUGUUUUAUUAAGCUGCAAGAUAACAGCAAAAAUCAAUCCUUUGGCAAGAAAAUAUCCCGAUGAGCCCAAUAGCCACUAUUGUAAAACUUUUGUUUUAAAUAGCUUUCAUUUAUAUUUUUUUUCUUCAACCUUCCUCCUCUAUUGUCAAUCAAGACUCUUAUCUUGGGUUAGAGUGUAGCUCAGAGGUAGAAUGUUUGCCUACUUUGCUUAAGACUCUGGAUUCAAUUUCCAGUGCUCCUGUCCUCCCUGUUCCUUCCCCCCCCCAAGAAAAAAGACUUGUGCUUUUAUAGUACUUAUGUAUGCCCCAUUCUUUGUAGUUUAAUUGAUCUCCAUAUUUGUAUAUGAUUUGUUUCAUAUUUUUAACAUUUCAGAUGUGUUUCCCUAGUAUCAACACUCAAGAUUUCAUCAUGUCAAAUGUAUGGUGGCCGGGCUUUGUGUGUUAUAUAUCUGUCUGUAUGUAAUUGAUUUAGUUUUGUUUAUUUAUUUGUCGAGUCAGAGUCUUGCUAUGUUGUCCAAGAUUGUCUUGGACUCAUAGACACAAAGGAUCCCCCCACCUCAUCCUCCAAAGAAGCUGGAACUAAAGGUAUAGGCUGCUGUGCCCAGCUCUGUGCUAAACUUAAAUGUAUGCAGCAGAAUAGAUUAUGUUUUAUCUACUUACAAAAAAAUGCAUUUAUCACCCUGCUACCAUAUCUAUGCUGGUAUUUAAAAAAAUUUAAAAAAAAAUUUAAAUCAGACUUAUGAAUGAGAGAUGAUGUUGUACUGCUUUCCAAUAUGAUGGGGUUGUCUAGAUCACACACAGCUACUUUGGUCUAGUACAGUAUCACUGUAGCUAUUCCUUAUAAUCCUGGGCUGAUGGAAUGUUACUAAGCAUUAGUAAAAAAUGACGAUAUUUUCUCAAUAUAAUAUAUUCCUCAGACUGGUAUAUUACCAGUUUUUAUAGAUUUAAUUAAUGUUGAGAUUUCAAAUAAUUUAAUAGAACACAAGAGUCGUUUUGGAUGUAUACUAUAUCUUUGAAGUUUUAGUUCCCUGAUUUAGAUGAAUGAAGUUACUGUUUUGCUAGACUUUUCAACUAUAGUUCAAACUAAUCAUAACUUCUAUGAUCUGUAUAAAAUUAUUACUGCUUACUUUGAGUUAUCAUCGUUUUUAUUUAAGCAAGCUUUAGAAUUUUAGACAUCCGUAGUUCCUAAUAAGUACUAAGCCUGAUAAGUCAUUUUUCUUAAGUAGACUUUGAGAAAGAAUGAAGUAGUAUGAGCAAAUAAAUUAUGUCAAUGUUGUAAUGUAUGUACGUCAAUGUUCUAGAUAAUGCUGAACAUUAUCUAGAAAUAAUCUAACCAAUUUCUAGUCACAUCUUCCACUCCAUUUGUCCACGAGAUAUGGUACUGCCUGUACUAUAAUUUAUGUUCUACUGUUAUUAUUGUACUUUUCCUUCAGGAAAGAUUCAACAUAGUAUCUUCUACAUGAAAAUUAGCCUUUGGUAUUAUUUCGAUAGCUAAGAACAUCUAGGGUGCCGAAAGCUCUCAUAAUACAAACCUUGCUUCUCACUCUGUUGAUCAUGAGCAGUCAGUCUGUGCCUCAUUUUUCUCAUGAGUUAGAUGGGAAAAUAAUACUGUUUCAUUUGGUUACAGUGAGAAAUAGUGACUGUUUCAUGUAGUAUGUUUGAAAUGGUUUUUAGAACGCAACAAACAUUCAACAUUACUGGUCACUAGAAUGGUAAAACAUGACAUUGAUGUAAAUUUCUUUUUUAAUUUAAUUUUCUUUGCCAUAUACUAGACAAGUGCUCUUCCAUUGAGCUAUACAGAGCCCUCUUUUUACUCUUUAUUCUAAGACAGGGUCUCACUAAGUUGCUCAGGCUGGCCAUGAACUCUCUCUAGCCCAGGCAGAACUUGAAUUUUCCCUACUCUGUGUCAAUCUUCCAUGUAGGUGGCAUUAGAGACCUUUGCCACCAGGCCAGGCUUCUUCCUUUGUUAUGGUGGUGGUUGUUGUUGUUGUUGUUGCUGUUUUUAAGACAGAGACUCACUGUGUAGCCCAGGCUAGCCUGGAACUGCCUAGUCCUCCUCCAUCUGUUUCCUGAGUACUGAGUGAGACUGAGUGUGACAAUAUAUAUUGUUUCUUCUCUUUUGGUAAAAUGUAAUAUAUUUUAAGAAUUCCUUGUCUCAAGAACCAACUGCUGCUUAUUAUCUUUUUAGGAUAUUUCAAGCUUGUGUAAACUAAAAAGUCAGCUAACAUGGAUUGGUCUCCUGUAACAUGCCAAGUAUUUUUCAUAUGCAUUACUUCAUUUGACUUUUAUAAUCCUGUUUGUUGAUGUUGUUUAAGUAUAAAGAGUGUUUACUAUUAAGUGACAUGUUGAAGUCUGCAGAUACAAUGAUGGAAUCAAACCAUUUUUCUCCUCUUCACAACAUAGUUGCUCUCUUCUGAUUAGCUCUUCCAGAUGAUGCUUAUUUUUCUUUGAAAACAUUUAAAUUUGUUUUUGGGGGGGUGGCAGGAAGUGAGUGUGGACCCCAUUCUCUCUUCUUACCUUUAUGUGUGUUCAGAGAAUCAAACUCAGGUCAUCAAGCUCACCUUUACCCACUGAGCCAUCUCCUGGGCUCUCUUCAAAGCACUCCUAAUUAGAAGUUGGUUUGCAAGCCUGACAAGAAAGCAUCCAAGAGGUACUAACUAAUGGGAACUAUGUGAUCUGUCAAGGCUAUUUAAAGACACAUGAAAUAGAGGCACUUCCUUCCUGGAUUUUAAAAUCUGGUUGGUAUACUAAGUCAUGGAGGUAUAAAUAAUUCAGUACCCAUAUAAAGGAGUGUGACUAAGAAGCAAGAGGAUGCAGCUAACAAGCACCAUGAGGCACCCUAGUGAUGAGUGGCACAGUCACAUGAUUGCUUCCCGCAUUGCAUUCAAGCCUCUGUCCCAUGUCAUGUGAGAGAUGCCAUCCUUGCUCAUCCCUGAAAACUAGCUUCGCCAUUACCCGGUCCCAACUCUGCUUUAUUUUGCCCUUACUCUAAGCAUGACAUCAUACCAAACAUUCUUUAAUUAUUGAUCACCUCUGCCAUGCAGACACUAGCUCCUUGAUGGUGUGUAGGCACAGUGCAAUAAAUAUUUAAAGGAAACUCAAAAGUCAUUUGUAGUUGGAAGGUUUCUCCCGUCCUGCCCAGCCCCACAGUCCCGCCCGGCCCUGAGGUCCCACAGCUGCUUAUAAAAUAAUCACUCAGAGGCUUAAUAUUACUUACAAACUGUAUGGUCUGUGGCAGGCCUCUUGCUAGCUAGCUCUUAUAUCUUAAAUUAACCCAUUUCUGUUAAUCUAUGUUUUGCCAUAUGUUCUGUGGCUUACCAGUGUACUGGCAUGUUGUUCCUUGGUUGGCAGGCUGACGCCUCUCUCCAGAUUCCACCUUUCUCUUUCCUGUCUUUCUCCUUGGAUUUCCCGCCUGCCCCUAAGCUGCCUUGCCAUAGGCCAGAGCAGCUUAUUUAUUAACCAAUGGGAACAACAUAUAUUCACAGCGCACAGAAAGACAUCCCCCAACAGUCAUUUUUCUUAAAAAGCCCAACCUUAGGCCUCAUAAAGUAACUAUCAGGAAAAAUCCUUCAGUGUAUGCCAACUAAGUCAUUUGUAUGGGUACCUCAUUCAAAAGAGCAGUCUGAAGUAGGCAGCCUGGUUGUUCAGGUGAGGGAGCCACUCUUAGCCAGUCUGUGAGAUUGACCAGAUUGUAACUGGACUGCAUAAUGAAGGCUACACUCCAAAAUGAUGAGAAAAGAAACAACCUGUGGAUAAUGUGAAAAAUUCAUGUAAGUAGUAUAUUAAGCCAACAAUAAGGUUAAAUAAACAGAAUUACUUUAUGCAAUUGAAACCUGGAUGUAGACCAGAAUUGGGCCACCAGCUCACAAAAAAGUGACAUGGAGACUUAAUAAUAAUUAUGAAAGCUUGGCCUUAGCUUAGUCUUGUUUCUAACUAGUUCUUAUAACUUAAAUUAACCCAUAUUUUUUAGCCUAUGUUCUUCCAUGUCUCAUUACCCCCUCAUCUCUCUGUACUCCUCAUGCUGCUGCUUCUGCGUCUAGCUGAUGACUCUGCCUUCCUUCUUCCCAGUGCUCUCUCUGUCCAGAAGCCCUGCCUAUCCCUCCUGUCUAGCUGUUGGCCAUUUAGCUGUUUAUUAAACCAGUCACAGUGACACAUCUUCACAGUGUAAAGGAAUAUUCCACAUUUCCCCCUUUUUGUCUAAAUAGAAAAGUUUUAACUCUAAUACAGUAAAACUAUAUACAAUAAGAACAAUUAUCAGGUAAGAAUUACAUUUAUAAUGUCUAGUCCAUUUGCAUUUGGCAAACUUAGAGAAAAUACUCCAUUAUCCUAUUUUAGUCCAAAGUUUUAUACCUAAGCCACUUUUUGUCAUAAAUUGUAUUACAAUCCUAAAAAUAUCUUUUUAGACCUUAAAACAUCCUUUUAGAUAAACAACUUAAGUUUUUAUGUUUCUCAACCUUAUAAACUUUAUAUCUCUUAUGUAAGUUUUUCUUUUGAAUUUGGUAACAAGAAAAAGUGUAAAACUAUAACUAUCUGGUCUUCAAUCUCUUUUCUUUUUUAACCCUCAAAGGUUUUUUUUUAAACAUGUUGUACCUUUUUAGAGGUUGUAUGUGUCUGGACCUGGCUUUGCUAAGCAUCUGUAGCAUUCUCUGAUCACAGGAGACAAAUCUUAAACUGCUAUGUCAGCCACUGGAGCAGCAAACUUAGCGCAUGGUGCUGGUGGGUGGCUCCAGCCCUGGGGCAGUAGUCUCCGUGUGCUGAGCCUACUGAGAGACCUCGGUCACCAUGCCAGGAAACCAAGGUUUUUGUUCUUUUUUAAGCUUUCUCAGGCCUUAUGUGAAUAUAUGUGGCUGGACAUUGGCCACUAUAUAGACAGAUUCUUUUCCUUUGGGCUGCCAGCUCAAAAACAAAAACAAAAACAAACAAAAACAACACCCACCUAUACCCCCUGCCUAGCUAUUGGCUAUUUAGCUUUUUAUUAAACCUAUCAUAGUGACACAUCUUCACACAGUGUAAAGGAAUAUUUCACAACGCCUGGGAGAAAUAAAAAAUGCAUGGGAUAAAAUCAGUAAUCUUUAGAAAGAAAUCAACAUUGUAAACACUUGUGGGGCAAAACAAAACAAUUGGAUUUUAAGGUCUUAAAGAUUGGGUCUUUUUUCAAUGCUAGAGUCAGAUAAUGCUACACUCUUCAAAUAGGAAUGCUCUGAAGAGCUGAGCAAAAGAUGUUGGACUCAUAAACAUAGAAGGCUGAUGAAAAUAGAAACAAGGCAAAAAGCAGAUUAGUCAUUUCCAAGUUCUUUGCCAUGUAAGAUGGGAAAUGGAAAUAGGAAGAUUACUGAGAGGAACUGGUUCAUCUCAAUGGAAGGAUUAAAGCAAAGGGGUUUCGUUAUCGUACUGCCUCAGACCGGUCUUUGGGGAAUUUGGGCUCUUAUCUCUCUAAUCCUAAUAGAUAAACAGCUUAGUUUCCUUAUGCGGAUGUGGAACUUCAGCAUUAUGGACCAUUAAUUGGGUCCAGUGUAGGAACUUGGUCCAAAACAAUGGCCUUCUUUCAUUUUCAUUUAGAGUGCCCAAAAUUUAAUCAGAGAUCUGGGUGAGGGAAGCACAUUCAGGUCUUCGUUGCUCCAUACACUACCUUUACAAUACAGUGUUCGAUUGGAUGUGUGUUCAUUAGGAGCAGCUGCUUGCCAUCUAUAAGAAAUGUAGGGUGACAGUACUUGGACUGUGUUUCCCUGUUCCAGGGACAAGGUUUCCCAGUGUGGAAAACACAAAUCCAGUUGGAGAUGUUGCUUCAGGACACAACCUAUUCACCUUGUCUUAAUUUCAGACUCAUCGAGCAACCAUAAAGAUAAACCUACAUUCCCAUAUUUAUUUGCAUAUAGGGCUUCUCAGGAAAUGCAAAUGUGCACACAAUAGUAGUUAGGUUGUUUGAAGUCACUGUUUAAAGGGGUGCUUGGCUUUUGGGGUUAUUUUCUUGUAAUUAUUUUCUGUGGGAGAAGCUGAGAGCUACCCAUUGGACCAUAUCUCCUCUGUGUCCUGAGACUGGGAUGAUUCCCUGAGGAAAUGCCAUCCUAUGGGAACUGUCUGGGUGGUUAUCAUCCUUUGCCGGCAUUUGCCAUAUUUUACUUUCUACUCCAUUUCACUAGACACCUGCAAGUUGGGAAUUUUUUUUUAAUCGUAGUUAAGUGUAUUCUAGUAGCAAAUUUUCAGAAAGAACACAAAAGGCAAAUGCAAUUAAUAACAUGUCCUUGCAUGCAGGACAACUCAUGUUACACAAGUAUAGAGAACAGAUAGAAUCUAUUGUGUGAUAAAGAUUCUAGAAACACCAUAUUAUUGUGAGCCACCAUGUGGGUGCUGGGAAUUGAACUCAGGACCUCUGGAAGAGCUGUCAGUGCUCUUAACCUCUGAGCCAUCUCUCCAGCCCACCAUAUUAUUGUCAAUAGGAAGUUUUCUAAUUUAAAAAAAGAUCCAAAUGUCAUGUUGGAGAGAUGGUUCAGCACUUAAGAGCACUUGCUGCUCUUACAGAGUAUCUGGAUUCAGUUCCCAGCACCUAUGUGGUGGCUUACAACCAUCUGGGGGAUUGAUGCCCUCUUCUGGCCUCUGCAGGUACCAAGCAUACAUGUGGUGCACAUACACACAUGCAAGAAAAGCACUCAUACACAUAUAACCCUUUUUUAAAAAAAAAAAAAAUUCAAAUGUUGGUGUUACCCAGAAAAAAAUGUAACAAGUUUAUUAUAAUCCCAAUAAACUACUGAAACUUGCUCACUUUGAAUUGUGUUAGUGUUUGCUUCCUGAGCAUCCUAGUUUCAUUUCUGUUGGUAUGAGAAAAUGCCCUGACAAAAGUGACUUGAAGGGAGAAAGGAUUGACUUGACUUAUAGUUCUACAUUCCAGUCAAUCAUUGAUGAGAAUUCAUGGAAAGAACCCAAAGCAGCUAGUCAUGUCCACAGUCAAGAGCAGGAGGAGAAUGAAGAUGUGCAUGCUUACCCGUGCUCAGCCCUCUCUCUACCAUGAUACAGUCCAGGAUUCCCUGCCUAGGGAAUGGUGCUGCCUGCAGUGGGCUAGGGUGUCCCGCAUCAGUUGACUUUAGGAAUCAAGGAAAUCCCUCACAGACAUGCCCAGACACCAACCAGAUCCAGGAAACCCCUCAUUGAGAGUCUCUUCCCAGGUGAUUCUGUCAAGCUGACAAUUGAAACCACCCAUCACAAUGAGUGUCUAUGUCCUUAACUUCAGAGUUUGGGAGACACUACCUUUCAUUAUAUAUUCAUAACAUUGCUUAAAAACAAAGAUAUACUCAAAAGAACUAAUGGAAAACCAUGGUUAGAACUUUUUAAAAGUAAAUAGUACAGCUGCACAUGGUGCACACCUAUAAUCCCAGUUUAGGAGGCAGGAGGAUCAGAAAUUCAAGGCCAGCUUCAGCAGCAUAGCAAGUUUGAGGCUGGACUGUAUUACAUGAGACCCUGUCUCAAAAAUUUGAAAAACAACAAAAGUAACUAUAAGUGAUUGUCAUAUCAAGGAAACAUGCUAUGUAGUUUAAAAUUUUUCCAUCCACUUAAAAUUUGCUGAGUGAUACAUGCCUAAGGAUGAUGAGAACUUGGAAUACACUUCCCCAUCUCUCAGGAGUCUGACAUCAUACCUUAUGAGACCCUAUACAUGAGGCCUUUAUGAAUGGAUUCAUCCAUGGGUGUGAUUAAUGAACCAAUCAAUUGAUGGUUUAUUUCAAGAAUAGGUUUGCACAGACAUAGUGGUGCAUACCUUUAAUUCCAACACUCGGGACACAGAAGCAUGUGGAUCUCUAUGAGUUUGAGGCCAGCCUGUUCUAUAUAGUUUCAAAGCUACACAGUGAGACUGUGUCUCAAACAAGCAAACAAACAAACCAAAACCAGAACAGGUUUGCUAGAAAAGUCAGUUUGGCUAGAUCUGUGCCCAUUCCUGCCUCUCCAAUAGAAUGCUUGUGUCACCUGGGGACUCUACGAGUAUGAAGGCCACCACCAGAUAUGGCUCUAUGACCUUGAGGGGAAGUACGAGUCAAAAUAAGCUGCUUUCUUUAUAAACUACCUUGGUGGUGGUGUUAUAUUAGCAGCAGAAAUGGGCUGAGAUCUGAAGGGUGUGCUUGGUGUCCACAAGAUCUACUUUGUACUUCUGUAACUGAUUUUGAUAGGAAAAGUAAGUACACAGAUUCUCAUCUCAGGAAUCUGUCCCCUAGGAUAAGUCUAGACCAAACUUUAGGACAACUUGGGACAAUCAGUUUCUUAUUCACCAUGUGAGUCCUAAGGAUUGAACUGAAAGCAUCGGGCUUGGCCUCAGGCACCUUUACCUGCUGAGACAUCUCACCAGCCUUUCUUUCUGCUUUUCUUAAAAAAGCGUUGUUGUACUCAAUUACAUAUCCCUCUUUUGUCUUCAUUAGCAUAUAGUUAUACAGCAUAAUGGAUUUCAUUGUGAUUUUUCACAUAUGUUCUAUAUGCCUUGAUCAUAUUCAUCCUUUUAUUCCUUUGAUGAUUUUAAAAUAAAUUGACAGUAUUCUUAGAACUAAAUACUUCAAAAUGCCUAUGAUUAAGAAGAGUUCACUAUUUAUUUAUGGCAUGUUUCUUUAAACUAAAUUUAUAUAAAAUGAAAUGUACAAAUAUUACUUAUGCAUUGAAUGAAUUUUAGCACAUAAAAUUGCACAAUUCAAAACAUUAUCAAGAUGUAAAAUGUUAUAAAAACACAAGAAAAACUCAAAACCGUAUAAAGUAUUUUGACCAGCUCUGUUUUCUGUGCCAAUACAACUCCUUUCCCCAACAGGCACCUCCUGUUCUGACUCCUUCAUAUUCAGUUUGGACAGUUCUAACAUUUCAACCAAGCACAAUUACAUGAUACAAACUUUUCCUUUUGGUUUUUCGAGACAGGGUGUCUUUGUGUAGCCCUGCCUGUCCUGGAACUCACUCUGUAGACCAGGCUGGCCUUAAACUCAGAGAUCCACCCAAAGGCAUGCACCACCACAGCCCAACCACUCUGUACUUUUCUAAUAAUAUAUAUUUAAGUCUGUAUAUUAUGUAUUAUCAAACACUCUAUAUAUGCUUUCUUAAAGUAUAUACUUACAUACUUCAUUUUCUCUGGCAUGAUUUUUUUAAAGUUUUGCUUAGCAUAGAUUCAUUAUAAAUAAAAAUGGGUUUAUCAUGAAAUUUUGGCCUAGUGCUCACUGUGUAGUCCAGGCUGACCUCAAAUUUAAACCAAUCCUCCUGCCUCAGCCUCAGCUAGGAAUACAAGUGUGUACCUUCAUGCUCAAUUUAAGAAAACUUUUAAACCUGGUGGUGGUGAUGCAUGCCUUUAAUCCCAGCACUCAGGAGGCAGAAGCAGACAGAUCUCUGAGUUUGAUGCCAGCCUGGUAUGCAGAGCAUGUUCCAAGACAGCCAGGAGUACUCUAAAUACUAAUUAAUUUUAUUUAUAGCUCACCAAGAGAAUGCAAACAGAAUUGAUGAAAUAUGUAUUUUUAAACUAUGCAAAUGUGUCCAUUAUAUAAGGAGAGACUAUGAGUGAUUCAUAUUCUCUCUCUCUCUCUCUCUCUCUCUCUCUCUCUCUCUCUCUCUCUCUCUCUCAGUGGAUAACUGUUCUGUCUAUGACUUUGAAGCACCACCCCUAGAGAUAUAGCAGGUAACUGUCCUACAUACCUAUGACCUUGAAGUACCUGCCCCUGGGGCAUGGCUUGGGGCAACGCUGAAGACCAGAGACACAUAGGCUGCUCUCCUCACUCCCUGUGGAACUUGGAUGCUGGGCCAUUCUCAGGUUUGGAAGAACAGCAUGGGACUCUGCCUCACCUUUCCAGGGCCCUGUGACAAUUCCUCUGUUGUCUUGUGAAUUUCCCUUUCCUGAUAAAUGCCUUUGCCCUUUAACCAGACUCUGUGGAUUUCUCACAUUACCUGGUGCCCACAUGGGUGGGCCAUCCCCACAGCCCUUAUCCAUGCAGAGAAUCCUAAAACCCUGCCUGCUAGAAGCAGCUCAAAUCCUGAAAAAAAAAUGUCCUACUUGUUCCUUCUAUAACCAAACUCCAUUACUGGCAGAAAUUAUCCUAAAGGUAUACAAAGAAAUGAAAUUUGGCAGAUGGAUGUGUUUCAUUUUGCAGAAUUUGGAAGAUUAAAAUGUGUACACCAUACCAAUGACACCUAUUCAGGAUUUCAACAGGCAACUCCUGUGAAUUAUGAAAAGGCUGAUUCUGUAAUUAUACACCUAUUAGAAGUUAUGGCCGUCAUGGGAAUACCUGUACAACUUAAGACUGGCUAUACUCCAGCAUAUGUCUCCAAUAAAAUGAGACAGUUUUUUGCUUAUUACAAUAUAAAGCAUAUUACAGGUAUACUACACAAUCCCACAGGCUAAGCAGUCAUAGAAAGAGCUAAUUGAACCUUAAAGGAUAUGCUAAAUAAACAGAAAGAGGUAACAAUGACCCCUAGAAAUAGAUUGCACAGUGCUUUAUUAACCUUGAAUUUUCUCAGUGCUGAUGAGAAAGGGACAACAGCUGCAGAGAGACAUUGGACAACAGACAAAACUCCUGAGCUAAACCAACCUGUUUACUUCAAAGAUGUGUUGACCUUGGAAUGGAAAUGACCAGGAUAUGUCCUACACUGGGGAAGGGGUUUUGCUUUUGUUUCUGCAGGAGAAGAAAAGCUAUGGAUACCAACAAAAUUAAUAAAAAUUCGAUCUGAACAGGAGAAACCACUUGAUGAAUAGAGGAUAACAGGAAUACCCAUCUUCAAUAAAUCAAAAAGCCUUGGAUAUCCAGACAUCUACAGCAGAAAGGAAGAAUCUAUUGGUACCAAUAUAUACAGGAAGGAAGAUGGGGCUCCAUGACAACAACACUACUUGGUCCAUAAUGACGCCAUUAAACCAAAAAAACACCACUCAGUGAUCAGCUUUGGACUGUAGUGAGUAGCCAUUCCAGCUUUGAUCUGGAAGUUCCAACCCCCAUUGAGACUUUGGCAACUGUCACGCCUACAAGGCGGGGCCAAGGGAGGCACCUGGAGACCUGAGAUUGGACUGCGCUCUCACUUGGUUCCAGGCCCUGGACGGUGGAGGUGGGCUAAGCAGAGCUCCAGAGAACACCGCUGGACUGCGAUACACCUUCCCCAGACCCCGACCUACCUUAAUUUGUAAGUUACGCCAUUAAAUAAAUCUCCUUUUAACUACGUGGAGUGGCCUUAAUACACCAAGAUCUGGCGCCCAACGUUCAUGGUACGAAUUCAUGAAAAAGGUGCUUGUGGGCCCCAGCUCAGGCCCAAGCUACACUUGGCCGGUUGUGGUGGAGCACGCUGGCAGGAUUUACUGAAGGAAGCAGAGGCAGGAGGAUACCACAUUUGAGGCCAGCCUAGGAGGUUUGCUAAGGAAAACCUUCAGCCUGGGACCCAGUGACAAACGGUAGUGGGACCAUGGAGGCAGUGACUGCUGCUCCACGUUGCUGGCUACUUCUCAUCGUGUUGGUGACUGCGGUGAUGCUGCUACCUGGGAUGAAGGGUUACUACUGCUUGUUCAGAGAAGAAUUGCCAGGACCAUCGUGUUACAAGAAAGCAUCAGCAAAGGUCAGUUUGGAAAAGUUUGGCAAGACAAAUGGUGGGGAGAAAUUGCUGUGACAAUAUUCUCUUCUAGGGAAGAAUGUUCAUGGUUCCGAGAGACAGACAUUUAACAGACUGUGACUGCUCCAAACCACAGAGGAGGCACACACACACACAAA